rnacentral:rRNA from 1 species
AGCAGUAGCCGCGGUAAUACGGAGGAUCCAAGCGUUAUCCGGAAUCAUUGGGUUUAAAGGGUCCGUAGGCGGUUUAGUAAGUCAGUGGUGAAAGCCCAUCGCUCAACGGUGGAACGGCCAUUGAUACUGCUGAACUUGAAUUAUUAGGAAGUGACUAGAAUAUGUAGUGUAGCGGUGAAAUGCUUAGAGAUUACAUGGAAUACCAAUUGCGAAGGCAGGUUACUACUAAUUGAUUGACGCUGAUGGACGAAAGCGUGGGGAGCGAACAGGAUUAGAUACCCCCGUAGUCCCUGUCUCUUAUAC